UUGCAGCCAAUUAAGCCGACCAUGCUCUUUCCCCGUGGGGGCCCAGUGUUCGAAGGCUGCAGACACCAGCCUCCUCGGUAAUAUAUGCAGCCUGCUGCCUGUACGGGUUGCCCUAAGGGACCUUGGAGACAGCC